UGCGGUCUUCGGGUCAAUGGUGAGCCAGUUGUCAGGAUCCAAACCUUUAACAUACCUGCAACACAGUGCGGACACUCAGCCUGAUUCGGCUCUGAGGGAAAACCUCAACGGCAAUAUGUAGGCGAGUCUUUCCCAACCUUUACCCAGCCAAGGCACGUACCUAAUCUAACCGAAAUGUGUGAACAAUUCUAAAGGGCCGAGCUCACUGGCCUGGAGACUACUUGCCGUCUUGAUUGCGACUCCGGUAUCUGAGCAGUUUUCGCGACAUCUCAUGGUGUCUCGCUGCGUUGCCGGAGAGUCGCUGAAAUGUUCCAUUUUUUUUUCUGAGACCUUUUAGAGACUCUCUCCUAUCUCCGGCAUCUUUCUGGGACCGUGGAGGCUAAUUCUGUCCACAACUGGGAAGAUAUCUUAGUGAGGUCUCGAUGACAUCUCCGAGACAAGCUGGAUCCCAUGGAAACUGCGAAGACGUCGCAGAGACUCCUCCGCUACUUUGCAGCCGUGCGGCGGAGACGUCGCAACGACUUCCCAGGCAAAUUGGUAUCAGUGAGACGUUCUCGCAAUAUUUGGGUUUCCUGAGUCACGGCAAGGUCUCCAACAGUGAGAUAGGCCCCUCAAUCUCAUCACAUCUCUUAUUAUGGAAGGGUCGACGCGGUCUGAAGACUAACCCAACAGACUUUGGUCGCAAGGCAAACUACAUUCACAGUUUCACUGAACCCACAUUGCGUACGCCGAAGUCGGGGUGGGGAGGUUGUCGUUGACAUCGUGCAGUUUCACCACCGCGGUGCCGGUGGCGCUGUUCCCGCCUGGCGCGCCGUUGAGGUCCUGACCUUUCACCGUAAGCGUGUACUGCUCGGAUUUCUGAAAGAUCCAAUGGCAUCGUUGGAAAAAAGCCAAGAACAUGUCGUCCGCCGGUUCCUGAGCGACCAGGGUGUACGCGAUCUGCGAGUUGGGAUUUCCGGGCUCGUCGGCGUCAGUCGCCGUGAUCUUCAUGACGGACGUCCCUGCGGUAGAGAAGACGGGCCUUUUUCGGACC